CGCUGCGCCGCUGCUUCCGGCCCUGCCCCGGGUAGUGCCGGACUUAUCUGUGACGUUGCUGGUCGCGGUGACCUGUCAGGGCACCCAGCACCAGGCAGGGCCUUGGUGAUCAAAAUAUCCACCUCAUCCUAAGUUCCCCUUUCAUGGAAUGAAGAAAUAUGAGGCUGGAGGUAGUCCUAUCCCUUGAUCCGGCCCAUAGCCCGGGGCACUGAGAGAUGAUGGACGCUCAGAGGGCAGAGCUCUUCUCCUCCUCCGUGCCUGGAACCCUUUUGGAUUUCUGGGAAUCUCCUUUGAGACCACAGCUGUUCUAGGAUGAGGCAACCUAUGAGAACUGUUGGCUGCUGACCUCGUCAUUGUUGGCUGCCAGUAGGGGAUUGAUGAGAGAGCUCAAGGCGCAGUUGUUCAACGGGAUGACGAUGGUGCCAUUACAAAGCUGAGGAACCUCCAGAUAAGCUCCGAUCAGGAAGAGUCUUCAAGAUACAGAUCGUCUUCCCAGUCCCUGCCUGCCGAGUCCUCUUCACUCCGCUGCUCUGCCUGGCGUCCAUCUGUGAUCUGGUUGUCUGUGUAUUGGUGGUCUCCUGCCCUGGGCCACAGGCUGCACGGGGGCAGGGCCGGGCCACGCUGUCCUUGCUGUAUCCCCAGCACCUGACACCUGCUGCA
rnacentral:lncRNA from 1 species